AAUUGGGUGGCAUAGUAGUUUAAUUGUUCGACUAUGACUCUGAAGACCAGGGUUCAAUUCCGUGCUCAGCCA